UACGGGGGGGCAAGCGUUGUUCGGAAUACUGGGCGUAAAGGGCUCGUAGGCGGCCAACUAAGUCAGACGUGAAAUCCCUCGGCUUAACCGGGGAACUGCGUCUGAUACUGGAUGGCUUGAGAUUGGGAGAGGGAUGCGGAAUUCCCGGUGUAGCGGUGGAAAUGCGGUAGAUAUCGGGAGGAACACCUGUGGCGAAAGCGGCUCACUGGACCAUAACUG
rnacentral:rRNA from 1 species